AACGAACGCUGGCGGCGUGGAUAAGACAUGCAAGUCGAACGGGACAGACCGAGUAGCAAUAUUUGGAAUGUUCAGUGGCGAACGGGUGCGUAACACGUGGAUAACAUUCCGGAAAGCGGGGAAUAGCCCAGGGAAACUUGGAUUAAUACCGCAUGUGGCCGCAAGGCUAAAGACGGGGACCGCAAGGCCUGUCACUCUCCGAUUGGUCCGCGGCCUAUCAGCUAGUUGGCGGGGUAAUGGCCCACCAAGGCUGCGACGGGUAGCUGGUCUUAGAGGACGACCAGCCACACUGGAACUGGGACACGGUCCAGACACCUACGGGUGGCAGCAGUCGAGAAUCUUUCACAAUGGGGGCAACCCUGAUGGAGCGACGCCGCGUGGAGGAUAAGGUCUUCGGAUUGUAAACUCCUGUCAUGCGAGAACAAGGUACUCAGGCUAAUAACCUGAUUGUUUGAUGGUACCGCAAGAGGAAGAGACGGCUAACUCUGUGCCAGCCGCCGCGGUAAUAC
rnacentral:rRNA from 1 species